rnacentral:tRNA from 1 species
GGGCUCGUAGUCUAGCUUGGAUAGGAUACGAGGCUUCGGACCUCGAGACCAGGGUUCAAAUCCCUGCGAGCCCG